UGCUAGUCGUGCGAGUUUAGACUCGCGGCGUAUAGCUCAGUAACACGUGGCCAAACUACCCUACAGACGGGAACAACCUCGGGAAACUGAGGCUAACUCCUGAUACGCGUUGGCUGUUUGAAGACGCCGACGUUGAAACGCUUUGGCGCUGUAGGAUGUGGCUGCGGCCGAUUAGGUAGAUGGUGGGGUAACGGCCCACCAUGCCGAUAAUCGGUACGGGUUGUGAGAGCAAGAGCCCGGAGACGGUAUCUGAGACAAGAUACCGGGCCCUACGGGGCGCAGCAGGCGCGAAACCUUUACACUGCACGCCAGUGCGAUAAGGGGAUCCCCAGUGCGAGGGCAUACAGUCCUCGCUUUUCACCACCGUACGAUGGUGGUGGAACAAGAGCUGGGCAAGACCGGUGCCAGCCGCCGCGGUAAUACCGGCAGCACGAGUGAUGGCCGAUUUUAUUGGGCCUAAAGCGUCCGUAGCUGGCCGUUCAAGUCUGUCGGGAAAUCCAGUGGCUCAACCACUGGGCUGCCGGCGGAAACUGGACGGCUUGGGACCGGAAGACCCGAGGGGUACGUCCGGGGUAGGAGUGAAAUCCUGUAAUCCUGGACGGACCACCGAUGGCGAAAGCACCUCGGGAGCACGGAUCCGACAGUGAGGGACGAAAGCUAGGGUCUCGAACCGGAUUAGAUACCCGGGUAGUCCUAGCUGUAAACGAUGCUCGCUCGGUCUGGCGCAGGCUACGAGCCUGUGCUGUGCCACAGUGAAGACGUAAGCGAGCCGCCUGGGAAGUACGUCCGCAAGGAUGAAACUUAAAGGAAUUGGCGGGGGAGCACUACAACCGGA
rnacentral:rRNA from 1 species